rnacentral:rRNA from 1 species
AGAUUGAACGCUGGCGGCAUGCCUAACACAUGCAAGUCGAGCGGUAGAGAGGUGCUUGCAUCUCUUGAGAGCGGCGGACGGGUGAGUAAUGCCUAGGAAUCUGCCUAGUGGUGGGGGGAUAACGUUCGGAAACGGACGCUAAUACCGCAUACGUCCUACGGGAGAAAGCGGGGGACCUUCGGGCCUCGCGCCAUUAGAUGAGCCUAGGUCGGAUUAGCUAGUUGGUGAGGUAAUGGCUCACCAAGGCGACGAUCCGUAACUGGUCUGAGAGGGUGAUCAGUCACACUGGAACUGAGACACGGUCCAGACUCCUACGGGAGCAGCAGGUGGGGAAUAUUGGACAAUGGGCGAAAGCCUGAUCCAGCCAUGCCGCGUGUGUGAAGAAGGUCUCGGAUUGAAAGCUAACUUUAAGGUGGGAGGAAGGUUGUAACCUAAUACGUUGACUAAUUUGACGUUACGACAGAAUAAGCACGCUAACUCGUGCCAGCAGCCGUACG